rnacentral:rRNA from 1 species
UACGGGGGGGGCAAGCGUUGUUCGGAAUUACUGGGCGUAAAGGGCUCGUAGGCGGCCAACUAAGUCAUACGUGAAAUCCCUCGGCUUAACCGGGGAACUGCGUCUGAUACUGGAUGGCUUGAGAUUGGGAGAGGGAUGCGGAAUUCCUGGUGUAGCGGUGAAAUGCGCAGAUAUCAGGAAGAACACCUAUGGCGAAGGCAGCUCUCUGGGACGGUACUGACGCUGAGACGCGAAAGCGUGGGGAGCGAACAGG